UCUGAGGCAAGACACUGCUUGACAGCCAAAUCCAAUGAUUCUGAGGAUUCUUUAACUGAUGGGAGCAGAAGUAACCUUUUGGAAGUUAAUGUUUCAGAAGUAGAUCACCAUGAAAGACAAGUAGAGGAAGCUCAGCAGAAAGGAUUGUCCCUCACUGAUGGAGAUAAGGU